CAGACAUCUGUGUAUGUAGCAAGGAGCCUAAUGUUAACCCCCAAGACCAGGGGGAAAACAUCUCCAGGCCAUGUCAAAGAUCUUCAGGGCAGCCCCUCCCAGCACAGGCUAGUGGCCCAGGAGGAAGAAGUGGUUUUGCAGGCUGGGCGCAGGGUCUGCAUGCUGUUUAGAGUGAACAGGUCCACCCUCUGAAAUGUGUGGACAUGAGAUUCGGCGGGGCCAGGGGCAGAAUGAUAUGGUUUGGCUUUGUCUCCACCCA